AACGAACGCUGGCGGCAUGCCUAACACAUGCGAGUCGAACGAGACCUUCGGGUCUAGUGGCGCACGGGUGCGUAACGCGUGGGAACCUGCCCUUAGGUUCGGAAUAACUCCCCGAAAGGGGUGCUAAUACCGGAUAAUGUCUUCGGACCAAAGAUUUAUCGCCUUUGGAUGGGCCCGCGUUGGAUUAGCUAGUUGGUGGGGUAAAAGCCUACCAAGGCGACGAUCCAUAGCUGGUCUGAGAGGAUGAUCAGCCACACUGGGACUGAGACACGGCCCAGACUCCUACGGGAGGCAGCAGUGGGGAAUAUUGGACAAUGGGCGAAAGCCUGAUCCAGCAAUGCCGCGUGAGUGAUGAAGGCCUUAGGGUUGUAAAGCUCUUUUACCCGGGAUGAUAAUGACAGUACCGGGAGAAUAAGCUCCGGCUAACUCCGUG
rnacentral:rRNA from 1 species